rnacentral:rRNA from 1 species
UGGGGAAUAUUGCACAAUGGGGGAAACCCUGAUGCAGCAACGCCGCGUGAGUGAUGAAGGUUUUCGGAUCGUAAAGCUCUGUCUUUGGGGAAGAUAAUGACGGUACCCAAGGAGGAAGCCACGGCUAACUACGUGCCAG